rnacentral:lncRNA from 1 species
UUCUUUUUUAUUUUCCUCGUCGUCCUUCCCUGAAUUGGAGGGGGUUUCCAUUGGAAUCACUUCGAUUCCCCUCACCCAACUCACGCGGAUCAUCACGGACCUUCCUUUUUUUAUAUGCGUCCUGUAUGAAUGUACAACCAAAUAAGUACAGGUAACUUGACUAAGAAGUACAUAAAUACCGAGACCAUAACCAAGGAUCCCAAUCAAAU